rnacentral:rRNA from 1 species
UACGAAGGGGGGCUAGCGUUGCUCGGAAUGACUGGGCGUAAAGGGCGUGUAGGCGGCUUGCACAGUCAGGCGUGAAAUUCCUGGGCUCAACCUGGGGACUGCGCUUGAGACGUGUGGGCUUGAGUGGGGAAGAGGGUCGUGGAAUUCCCGGUGUAGCGGUGAAAUGCGUAGAGAUCGGGAGGAACACCAGUGGCGAAGGCGGCUACCUGGACCAGCACUGACACUGAGGCACGAAAAGCGUGGGGGAGCGAACAGG